UACGUAGGUGGCAAGCGUUGUCCGGAUUUACUGGGCGUAAAGAGCGCGCGGGCGGCUGGGCAAGUCCGAUGUGAAAGCUUCCGGCUUAACUGGAAAAUUGCAUCGGAAACUGCUCGGCUUGAAGGUGGGAGAGGGUAGCGGAAUUCCCGGUGUAGUGGUGAAAUGCGUAGAUAUCGGGAGGAACACCAGUGGCGAAGGCGACUACCUGGCCUGUUCUUGACGCUGAGGCGCGAAAGCUAGGGGAGCAAACGGG
rnacentral:rRNA from 1 species